UAUAUUCUGUAGCAAGGUUAACCGUAUAGGGGAGCCGCAGGGAAACCGAGUCUUAACUGGGCGUUAAGUUGCAGGGUAUAGACCCGAAACCCGGUGAUCUAGCCAUGGGCAGGUUGAAGGUUGGGUAACACUAACUGGAGGACCGAACCGACUAAUGUUGAAAAAUUAGCGGAUGACUUGUGGCUGGGGGUGAAAGGCCAAUCAAACCGGGAGAUAGCUGG
rnacentral:ncRNA from 1 species